AAAAGCUAGCGGAUGACCUGUGGAUCGGAGUGAAAGGCUAAUCAAGCUCGGAGAUAGCUGGUUCUCCUCGAAAGCUAUUUAGGUAGCGCCUCGUGUAUCACUGCUGGGGGUAGAGCACUGUUUCGGCUAGGGGGUCAUCCCGACUUACCAAACCGAUGCAAACUCCGAAUACCAGCAAGUGUCAGCACGGGAGACACACGGCGGGUGCUAACGUCCGUCGUGAAAAGGGAAACAACCCAGACCGUCAGCUAAGGUCCCAAAAUCCUGGUUAAGUGGGAAACGAUGUGGGAAGGCUUAGACAGCUAGGAGGUUGGCUUAGAAGCAGCCACCCUUUAAAGAAAGCGUAAUAGCUCACUGGUCGAGUCGGCCUGCGCGGAAGAUGUAACGGGGCUCAAACCAGG
rnacentral:rRNA from 1 species